GGGGUUGUAGCUCAGUGGUAGAGCACUUGCCUAGCAUGAGUCAGGCACUGGGUUCAAAUCUCAGCACCA
rnacentral:tRNA from 1 species